GACGGAGGGGGCAAGCGUUGUCCGGACUCACUGGGCGUAAAGGGUGCGUAGGCGGCAGCCUGCGUCGGUGCUGAAAGUGCCCCGCUUAACGGGGUAAGGUGUGCCGAUACGAGGCAGCUUGAGACAAGCAGAGGCUGGCGGUAUUCCCGAUGUAGUAGUGAAAUGCGUAGAUAUUGGGAGGAACGCCGGUGGCGCAAGCGGCCAGCUGGGCUUGAUCUGACGCUGAGGCACGAAAGCGUGGGGAG
rnacentral:rRNA from 1 species